GCUCAGUCUCUGAAUUCGGGCACCAGGUGAAGCCGAGCUCUGGUGAGACCGGGGACUAGAGCGACGUGAGACCAACCAGACUCCUGGUCAUGACUCCUCCAGAUCCCAGCCAUAGGUUUGGGGUCCUGGCUGUGGGCUUGGGGUACCAGCCAUGGGCUUGAGGUCCUGGCUGGGGGCUCAGGGUUCUGUGCCCAUCCUUGCUGGGAGCCCCAGCCCCAGUCUCCGUCCUCAGGCGUGCUGCCUGUGUGCCACCCACUCUUCACCCUGGUCACAGAGAAUCUGAGCUGCUGCUUCCCCUCCACAACCAUCUCUGCUGCAUCAGCAAGUCCCACAGCCAGGUCAUGAUGUCCAGAAUCAGGUUCUUCUUCUCCAGCUAGUGUGGACUGGGACAGUCCCACCAUUUCCAGCUGCUGAACGACUGGGCCAGCCCUGUCCUGGACUACCUUGUCAUUGAUUAUUCCUUUGCCCAAGUGAGCCCUGCCAGGCUGCCUCCUCCUUCUCCCCCUCCUUCUCCUCUUCCUCCUUCUCCUCCUUCUCCUCCUUCUCCUCUUUCUCCUCUUUCUCCUCUUUCUCCUCCUCCUCCUCAUGCAGUACCCACUGGUGCCUGCAGGAUUUGGAUCCUCUUACCUGGCUCACCUGGAGCUGCUUGUGGGACUCCCACAGUGGGCGCAGGGCACCCCAGAUUGCCAAGAUGGGUGCUGUGUCACACCCUUGGGACAGUCUGGCAUCCAUCAGGACAGUCUGGCAGCCACUGGACAGCCUGGCACCCAUGAGGACAGUGUGAUAUCCAUGGGGACAGCCUGGCACCUGCUGGAACAGACUGAAACACAUGGAGACAGAGUGACACCCAUGGGCACAGCCUGGAACCUAUCAGGACUGCCUGGAACCCAUAGGGAUAGCUUAGCACCCCUGGGGACAGCCUAGAACCCAUGGGGACGGAGUGACACUGCAAUAGCCCAGAAGCCGUAGGGACCACCAGGCACCCCUGGGGCUAGUCUGGCAUCCAUGAAAACAGCCUAGUACACCUGGGGACAGCCUGGGAUCCAUAGGGACACCCUGUCAUCCGCUGGGAGAGCCUGACACCCACGGGGACAUUCUGGCAUCCCUAGGGACAACCUGGGCACCCUUGGUGACAGCCCGACAUCCCUGGAGACACCCCACCACUCACCUGUGCCUCCCGUCUCCAGUGCCGCUCUGGAGCCAGAUCCAGAGGCACAACUUCCUCCUCCUCCAGCGCCUCCACCACCGCUGCAGUAAAUCCCUGUGGGAGUUUGAGGGCUGCUGCAGGGACAGGCCCCACCUGAAGCUGCAGUCCCUGCUGGACCUAGAGUGGCUCCAGUGCCUUCGCAGCGAGGAGACUGCAUGUGCCCUGCCCGGGAUCCUGGCACAGACAUGGCCGUUGCUGGAGAGCGCGGCGUGUCCUGGAGCUGCAGUGGCUCGGAGGUGCUGGUGGUGGCAGUAGCGGGGGUCCCACGCAAUAGGGAGCUGGGUGGCGGCAGUGUCCCCACAGAAGCGCUACCACUUGUGCGACAUCCCCGUCAUCAGCACCUAGCAGGCGGGCGAGCCAGGAGGGCGGCUCCUUGGAGAACCGGCUCGUCACCCUCCCCAAGGCGGACAGCUGGGUGCUGGGGAGCUGGGGGUGUUUGGGGAGCCCUCGGGAGUUCAGGGGGGACAUGGGGCUGCCGCCCCCCCUGGCGCAGAAGGGGGAGUGCCCCAGGCUGCGAGAUGUUCGUUCCUUCGUGCCUCUCCUCAAUGGUCACUCCCUGUUGGAGUCCAGGAUAUCCCUCUGGCCGCCCUGGAGGGUUUGAAGACUGUACAGGAGGGUUUGGAGACUGUACAGGGGGGUCUGGGAUCUGAGCAGGGGGGUCAGUUAGACCCACACGGAUCCCAGGAGGACACUGCCUCUGAUUCCUGUCCAUGGGAGUGAACACUCACAUGCAGGAAGAAUCACAAAUCCUAAGAAUUUGAAAUAAGUAGUGGAUGGUUUAUUAUAGAAUAUAAAUAUAGAAAUUAGGAUUCUUAGUAUAUGGGGCUGAAGAAGCAAGAUGGAGGAAUUGGGGAGUGGCCCCUGUCUUCCUUGUUCUUGCUCUCAUCUCCCAUCUUGUGCUGAGUUGGGUUUUAGAGAUUGGCUUAGAGUAGAACUGACAUGUUAGCAUAGGUUGUAGGUAUUGGUAAAAUUUUGUAAAUAAAAAAUACGUCUCGGACAGUGGUUGGGUCAAGGUUGCCGUACUUAAGGUGCGGGGCUCUCUGAUCUGCCCCAGUCCAGCCACGUGUCUUGCUUUGCUGGGGAUGCCUUGCAAAGCUGGACAAGAACUGAUAGAUAAUUAAGAAUAAACAG